AUCGCGUCUGGUUCUGAACAUGAUGAGAAACGAAAGCAACUUAAACACAAUCAGGUUAAAAGCUUUCGCAAUGAUCGUGAGCAGUGAUGGGUAGCGA
rnacentral:precursor_RNA from 1 species